AAGUUAAAAAGCUUAAAUUUAUUUAAAAGACGAGAAGACCCUAUAGAUCUUUAUAUAAAUUUUAAUAAUUUUAUUUAAGAAUAAUUAAUUUAUUAUUAUUAUUUAUAUUUUAUUGGGGUAAUAGAAAGAUUAAAAAAAUUCUUUUUUUAUUUAAACAUUAAUUUAUGAUUAUAUGAUCCAAUAUUUUUGAUUAAAAGAUUAAGUUACCUUAGGGAUAACAGCGUAAUUUUUUUAGAGAGUUCAUAUCGAUAAAAAAGUUUGCGACCUCNAUGUUGGAUUAAAAAUUAUCUUAGGUGCAGAAGUUUAAGAUUUUGGUCUGUUCGACCAUUAAAUUUUUACAUGAUCUGAGUUCAGACCGGCGUAAGCCAGGUCGGUUUCUAUCUUUAAUAAAUUAUAAUAUUUUAGUACGAAAGGACCAAAUAUUUAAUAUAUUUAUAUUUAAUUUUUUGAAUAUUAUUAGUUACUUUGGCAGAAUAGUGUAAUGAAUUUAGAAUUCAUAAAUGUAAAUUUUUUACAAGUAAUAUUGUUUUAUAUAGAUUUAAUAUUUUCUUUAAUUUGUAUUUUAUUGUUAGUAAUUUGUGUAUUAGUUGGGGUAGCUUUUUUAACUUUAUUAGA
rnacentral:rRNA from 1 species